ensembl:misc_RNA Y_RNA Y RNA
GGCUGGUCCAAGUGUAGUAGUGUUUACAACUAAUUGUUCAUAACCAGUCACAGAUUCCAUUGUUCUUUCUCCACUUCCACUGCUUCACUCAGCUAGCCUUUA